AUGAGAAAUCGUGCCAAGCCCUGGAAGGGGAGGGCGAGGGAGGUGCCGGUCAGUGGCGGACGGGUGAGUAACACGUAGGUAAUCUGCCCCAAAGUGGGGAAUAACUGUCCGAAAGGGCGGCUAAUUCCGCAUGUGGUCCGGCCUUCGGGCUGGAAGAAAGGGAGCAAUCCCGCUUUGGGAGGAGCCUGCGGCCGAUUAGCUAGUUGGUGGGGUAACGGCCUACCAAGGCGAUGAUCGGUAGCUGGUCUGAGAGGAUGAUCAGCCACACGGGGACUGAGACACGGCCCCGACUCCUACGGGAGGCAGCAGCAAGGAAUUUUCCGCAAUGGGCGCAAGCCUGACGGAGCAACGCCGCGUGCGGGAGGACGCCUUUCGGGGUGUAAACCGCUGUUCGUGGGGACGAAGCACUGACGGUACCCACGGAGGAAGGCCCGGCUAACUACGUGCCAGCAGCCGCGGUAAUACGUAGGGGCCGAGCGUUGUCCGGAGUUACUGGGCGUAAAGCGUGCGCAGGCGGCGCGUUCUGCCCGGCGUGAAAGCCCCCGGCUCAACCGGGGAGGGUCGUCGGGGACGGGCGCGCUUGAGGGUAUCAGGGGCUGGUGGAAUUCCCGGUGUAGUGGUGAAAUGCGUAGAGAUCGGGAGGAACACCUGUGGCGAAGGCGGCCAGCUGGGCUGGACCUGACGCUGAGGCACGAAGGCGUGGGGAGCGAACGGGAUUAGAUACCCCGGUAGUCCACGCAGUAAACGAUGCAGACUAGGCGUGGGGGGACUUGACCCCCUCCGUGCCGGAGCUAACGCGUGAAGUCUGCCGCCUGGGGAGUACGGCCGCAAGGCUAAAACUCAAAGGAAUUGACGGGGGCCCGCACAAGCGGCGGAGCGUGCGGUUUAAUUCGACGCAACGCGCAGAACCUUACCAGGGCUUGACAUGCUCCUGCAGAGCCGGGAAACCGGUUGGCCUUCGAGGGUGGAGCACAGGUGCUGCAUGGCUGUCGUCAGCUCGUGUCGUGAGAUGUUGGGUUAAG
rnacentral:rRNA from 1 species